UACGAAGGGGGCUAGCGUUGCUCGGAAUCACUGGGCGUAAAGGGUGCGUAGGCGGGUCUUUUAAGUCAGGGGUGAAAUCCUGGAGCUCAACUCCAGAACUGCCUUUGAUACUGAGGAUCUUGAGUUCGGGAGAGGUGAGUGGAACUGCGAGUGUAGAGGUGAAAUUUCGUAGAUAUUCGCAAGAACACCAGUGGCGAAGGCGGCUCACUGGCCCGAUACUGACGCUGAGGUGCGAAAGCGUGGGGAGCAAACAGG
rnacentral:rRNA from 1 species